rnacentral:lncRNA from 1 species
GGGGCAACAAAACGGUGUCUGACAUGGAAGUAUAUACGAAAAGAAAGGGAUGGAGUUGAAAUCCUCCCUGGAAAAAUCUGCACCUACUGACAUUCUUUGACAGUUGCUGAACACUUCUGGAGACCAAAUAUUGGCUGUGAGCAUAGAGAAGUGGUGGGUGGUAUGUUUCAGCAGCAAUGCUGUCACAGCAGCUGUGAAACAGUUAGUCAUGUCGGCGAGUGCAAAUUUAAAAAAAAAAGAGAGAGAGAACAGCAUGCAGGCUUUUGUUCAUCACAGAUUGAUACUCAAGAGGCAGGAGACAAAUUUGAACCAAUGUUAUCAUUUCCCCAUUUUGAGGGGAAGAACAGAAAGCAAGUGAAGCUGUUUGUAACUGAUACAAAGAAAGCAGACAAAUGUGCAUUUCUACUGCCAGUCAUGCCAGGGGAAGCAAGAACCUCCUCCCUGCCAGCCCACCUCAGCUGCUCAUCAGCACCUAGCAUAGGAAUUUCUGCCUUCCUCGAACUCCCUUCCAUCAAGACAAAUGGCAUGAAGCAGCCCACCUCAUUCUACCUAAACUGGAAGGACUGCUCACUGUCACUGUUCAGAUGACAAAAUCUG